rnacentral:lncRNA from 1 species
GUGGGAGAUUUUCUCUGUGUGUCUAGUAUUUAUGUAUUUGGAGUCCAUCAUAAUCAUAAAUCUAUAAUGUCUGGUUAAUCGGAUUGUAUGCCAUGUAGAUUAUAUAAUGUGGACAUGGUACCAUUAUUCGAUUGUGCUAGAAUUUGAAUUCCAUGUCCCCUUACCUAUCUAAGUUUGCAUAUGGAGGGUAUUGUGAAAGAAUUUCAUUUCUGCUGUGUGAAAGUACAUUGGUUCAACCAAUUGUGUAUUUGUAAUAGAUAUUUUGUUAAGAUUGUUUGUGUAAUUCUAUGUUUGUACAUAUUGAUUGAUUUUUACUUAUGGAUGAAUGAAAUGUUAGUUAUUUCCUUGAAAAAUAAUCAAAAUUGCAUAGCCCGCUCACUCUAUUAUAAUUGCUAAAUCUUGUGAAACUGACGUAUUAAAAUAACCCAAUUUCCUUUAGAAAAAUUAUAUUUUUCUACAUCGAGAGUUGAAGAAAGAUAUUUGUAAAAGUCUUAGCUUAGCUUUGCCCACCUCUCUGCAUUUUCUUCAAUAAAAAAAAAAUCACAAAUUAAUAUUUUUAAGCCAAGCGAGAUCUUUCUUGGUAAUUCCCACCAAUCUAAUGAUGUCUAAAUUCUAGUUCAUUUGGGUAAGAAGAAACCAGCUCUCUGCUAAUCAUAUUAACACUUGAAAAUGUUGAGAAUUCCUAGUGGCCUUAAAAUUCUUUGAACAAUUCAAUAUUUGAUUAUUGGUCCAAGAGUCGGCAUGGGAAUACUCUCUCAUGACAAACCCUUGAUUAGUUUUAACAUCGGCGAUGUUGCAAACAAUCAUGUGUUCCUCUCAAAACUGCCAGUCAAGCCCCAGUAAUAAAUUAAUUCGAGAGCUAUCUCCAGCUCCAUCUGUAUGAUACUUUAAAAGCAUUGUUCCAGUCUUCGAAGACAAUGGUGCUGAAAUAAUUUAUGCUUAAAACCCCGUGAUUUUAACUUUCCUUUCGAAUAAAAAGCCUGAGAGAAGUAAGAUUUCUCACCUUAAUUAGCCAUGAUCGGGCUGUUGUUCAACUCCUGUUAUAGCUUCUGGUUUCUUCUAAUCUGCUGCAGCUUCAAGCCUUCAGCACCUGCAGACCCACAAGCCAGCAAGAUCGAGAAAGAGAGAGAGAGAGGAGAUAAAUUUGAGGAUGCAGCUGAAUCUAGCGCCGGUGAGGGCCAAUUUAGAAUGUUACGGUCGUAUUUAGUUAAAGUUGAUAUUAGCGCAUAUUCAACAUAUAAUUAAUAGGUGAUCCAAAAUCGUACCUUUUAAUCCUAAAAGCAGAAGCGAAUCAUAUUCAACCAGUAAUUCAUUUUAUAGAUUUUUACUUAAUAUUUUAGCUUUGCUUAUUUAUUUAUUUUGAAGAGUUCCAUAGUUUGGUUUUGAUACAGCUGCUUGUUAUAUAAUCCAGCUUUACUUAGAAUGUCUCGGUUAGAAAUUUAUUUUUCCUAGCGAAAUAG